rfam:Ciona savignyi cont_60374, whole genome shotgun sequence.
GACUCCGUGGCGCAACGGUAGCGCGUCCGACUCCAGUUCGGAAGGUUGCGUGUUCAAAUCACGUCGGGGUCA